ACAAAGGAAGAGCAGCUGAAUUUCUCAACUUUGGUCCAGAUGCUUACUUGAUUAUACUUACAUCUCACUUCCAUUGGCUUGAAGUUGGUCUGACAACUCUCUAACCAAGUAAGGUUGGGACUAAGAUGAAUCUGGCUUGAAAUGCUCCAUAUUUAUGAAUACUUACAAACUAAACUACUAAAGAAUUUAGAGCUGUGCCUUUAUCCUAUUUAAAUCACUAUGAAAUUAACUGAUAACCAUGUUUUUGACUUGGGCCUAAUGGCCUGACUAGGAACCAUGAGAGUCUGUGAUUUGGGGAAAGUCUAAUGCCUUAGGCACAAAACUACUGGACUUUACAAAACUGAGAUUAUUAUAUCUCUUGAGGAAAAAGGUAGCAAAUUUUUAAGAAUGAGGGAGACUUCUUGAGAAGAAAUUCACCCCUGCAUAUAGAAAUAAAAUUCUGCAGGACAAAAAUGGGAUUAGUCAGGGGAAAAAAUCAUGAAAUAAAUAUGCCAAAAUAUUAGUAGUGAUUUAUUCUGGGUGGUGGUACUAUGAAAGACUGCUAUUUUAUUCUUUGUAUUUUAGGGUAGGCAGCUUAUUUUAUGUUCUUUUAAAAGAAAAGCAUCGCGGGGUGGAAGUCUAUGCCUUUACCUCUUUGGUUCCAGCUAUGCUUCUCCUUUAAGACAAGAAGUACAAACUCACAUGCCUAGAAAGCCCAGGCAACUAAUGUGAGUGAUGAAUUGUGUCAAAGCAGCAAGCACAUUCCCAUGUCAAGAGGCAGCUGCUCCUUAGCACAAGCACAUAGCUGCGGCAAAGAAAUGCAGGUAGCAUUGUUGAGAGAUCUUAACAUUUUUUUUGGCACUUGCAAUCUGUAUUUUUGUUGAAACUUUCUGAUUUUUAAAUUGUAGCAAUUUACUUAAAUUUUAAAAACCUAAGCAAAUAAAAAAGCAAAACAGAACAAACUCUGUGAGGUAUCGAGCAAAAUGUAAAGGAUUUUCAAGGGUGAUUUUGCUCAUAAAGCACAAGGCACAUAUUUGUUUAUCUGUUUUGAUAUACAAACCUAUAUUCAUGGUUACACACCAGAAGCACAGAUCUGGAUUUUUUUAAAAAAAGACUAGCAAUGGUCUAUAAGCAGAAUUUGGGCAUACAAACAAUGCCUUUAAGAGAACUAUUAAAUCUCUAUCUAAAUGGAGGAUGGACAGAAAAUUCUCAAAUAUUACUUUCUGCUCAUAAAAUUUAUUCCCUUCUAUUUAUUACUGUCUUUAUUGCAUGUUAACAGAUUAAACAAGAUAAUGGGAGUGACAGCUAAAAUGGGGUGUCAUAAUAAAAGUUUACCAAAAUUGUAAAUGAAAUAAGUAUGUUCUGUUUUGUUAUUUUGUAUAUCCAACAUAAAAUUUGCUGAGAAAAAGUAAUGAAGGCUAAAUGAGUCAGAGAAAGGAAACCUGAGGGAGCAAUUAAGACAAAUCUAUGGUAAGAAUUCUUUCUCUCAAAGAACUGGAUGCAAGGAGUGUCAUCCCCGGUGGACAGAACACAAGGCAGCUAAGGCCAUUAGGUGAUGGAGGAAUGUCGGCUGGCCAAAACCCCAUGAGGCUCAGGUGGAAGACCUUGAUCUUGUUAUCAGAGUCUUCAGGUGAGGUAGAAUAGAUUGAGGUGGAAAGAGUGGAAGGAAUGGAGCAUGAGAGUCUGGAAAGUAUGACAGGUUGUUAAGCAAGGCCUAGAGAAAACCUAAAAAUAUAUUCUAACAAGGGAAAAAAAUAAAAAGUGUCUGAAGGAUAAAAACUAGAGGUAGGAUACAAAGAACGAGGGUCGGAUGAGGCAGAGGGAGAAAAGCAUAAAGUCAUGUAUAAGACAGGUACUGAGGUCAAGGCCAGCAAAGAACAGUGGCCUGAAGUCAGACCUGGGAAGCAAUCUGGAAUGUGGUUCUGGUACAGGAAGAGGCAGACUAACAAGUUUCCAGAUUUGGCCAAGUUUUUUCAGCUUUGUUACUUUUGGUCAGGCAGGGGAUGUUUACCUAUCAAGGGCCAGAUGAAGUGGAGAACAUAAACCCAGAGAGGUAUUCAGAAUGAUCAAUUCCCUAAGUGGACUGGAGGCCAGAAAUACCAUCCUGAAAGUCUGGGACCAACCUGGGAUCAAGCAGUGUACCCUCAUUACAGGUUGUGGUCCCUGACACAGACCGAAGUUCCUCCACCAGGUUUACCCCAUCCUUCUGGAGCACGACAACUGUUUUGUUAAGUGUGACUCGCCAAAAGACCUUGACAUCUUCAAAGGCCCUGUGAGCAAGAAACCCACCCAAUGCCUUAACAGAGGGUGUCAUCCCCAUGUCUAAUAGAGUUUAUUAUCACUGUGCCAAAUGGUACCUCUUCAUCCAAAGUAUAGCACUUACUUUACCAUUGAUGAUGCUGAAAAUGACCAAUUUUCCUCACUACAAAUGAGAGAAUUAAAUUAAGCCUCAGGGCUUAUGUGGUUUUCUUUGACUACAUUCCAUUCGAUAAUGACUAAGUAUCCUGAUACUCUAUAUAAGGAAUGUAAAAACAAAUAAUAUUUUUCUAUUAUGUCCAAAAGAUGUGAAAAUGAGAAUUACAGGGAGUUCUUAAAGGCAAGUAAAUGUUCCUCAUUUCUCUUUUAAAAAGAAUUUUUCUAAAGAAACAACACUUCCACUCAUAAUGGUUGUUUCUGCAAAAUAGGGCAAAGGGAGACUUACAUUCUCACAGAUUUUUUAGGCCCAAAAUGGAAAAUGUAAUAUAUACACAUGUGCAUGUGUGCAUGCCAAGCACAUGUAUGUGAUUAGUAUCCAAAGAUGCUACUAUACAGUUUUAAGUUGCAAAUAAAAUUUUGGUACUCCAAGUUUUCCUUACAGGAAAAUGGUAUGUAUGUAGAGUGAGCAGGUAACAGGCAGUAAGAUGAAGUGAUGACCUACAUAGUCUGAUAUUUGUAUGGUACUUCAUGAAGUAUAAAACACUCAAGGUAACCCUAAGUUAUGAUCAUAAACGAAGUAUCAUAAUCACAGAUUAAGAACUACAGCAUCUGAAGACAUGCCAAAUUCCACACUACUUCCUUCUAUCUUACCCUGCCUCUACCAUUGUAUGAAUUAAAAUUGGAUUUAUACAGACACACAGAAUGUUACAUCUUCCACAUACUAUAUAUAUACUUACCUGUUUGGCUGUCUUGUGACAAUAAGGUGCAGUCUUCUCAUAUCAGCUCCUUCCCUGAGUUCUAGUCCACUCUGGGACUCCUCACUGAAUCCUAUGAUGCCAUUGUGAAUGUCACUCCCUGAAAAAAGAAUGGAGGGCUAUAAUAUAUUCAAGAAUUAUUUAAAAGACCUCCCAUGCUCCACUAAUCUUGCCAGCUCAUAUGGUUUAAAAGUGAGAAAUUCACAGGUGGUGAGGGGAGCUAGAGUUGUUAAAAUAUCUUUAUUAAAAAUAAACUAAACCGUGAUAACAUCAAGGUGGCUGUUUGGGAAUAGAAGAAAAGAAGAAAUAAAUAAUCAAAUCCCACUCUUUCCCCUGACACACAUAUUCAUUUUUCUAUUAAGAUCCUACUUUACAUUUGACAGUACUUGAAAUUUUAGAUAUUUAUCUGUUUUAAGACUAUAUAUCCCCCACAGAAUGUAAGCCCUACUCGAGCAACAACUUUUAUUCACUACUGUAUCCCCAGCUCCGAGAACAGAACUGAGCAUAUAGUAAGUGUUGAAUAAAUCUUUGUCAAAUAAAUGAA